rnacentral:tRNA from 4 species
GUCCGGGUGGCGGAAUUGGCAGACGCGCUAGCUUGAGGUGCUAGUGCCCUUUAUCGGGCGUGGGGGUUCAAGUCCCCCCUCGGACACCA